AAAUUUGUUAGCCUCUAAGGUGCCACAAGCACUCCUGUUCUUCUUGCUGAUACAGACUAACAUGGCUACGACUCUGAAACCUGUGACCAAGAAUAAGCUUGGGGGUCAUAGUGGA